GGACAUUGUGUGGUGGGUAGUUUGACUGGGGUGGUCGCCUCCAAAAGAGUAACGGAGGCUUUCAAAGGUACCCUCAGUACGGUUGGUAAUCGUACGUAGAGUGCAAUAGCAAAAGGGUGCUUGACUGUGAGGCCAACAAGCCGAUCAGGUACGAAAGUAGGAUAUAGUGAUCCGGUAGUUCCGUAUGGAAGGGCUAUCGCUCAAAGGAUAAAAGGUACUCCGGGGAUAACAGGCUGAUGAUGCCCAAGAGUCCAUAUCGACGGCAUCGUUUGGCACCUCGAUGUCGGCUCAUCACAUCCUGGGGCUGAAGCCGGUCCCAAGGGUAUGGCUGUUCGCCAUUUAAAGCGGUACGUGAGUUGGGUUCAGAACGUCGUGAGACAGUUCGGUCCCUAUCUGCCGUGGGUGUAGGAAUAUUGAUAGGAUCUGUCCCUAGUACGAGAGGACCGGGAUGGACGUAUCUCUGGUGGACCUGUUGUCGUGCCAACGGCAUAGCAGGGUAGCUAUAUACGGGAUGGAUAACCGCUGAAGGCAUCUAAGCGGGAAACC
rnacentral:rRNA from 18 species